rfam:Candidatus Melainabacteria bacterium RIFOXYA2_FTLL_32_9 rifoxya2_full_scaffold_869, whole genome shotgun sequence.
UUAAUGCUCCUCGUAGAUCGCUAGUUUUGAUCCUACAAUUUUAAAAGAGGGGGCUCUAUCUCUAAGGAUAAUAACGUAGACCUAACGUGUAUUAGGAAACGAAGUUUAUCCGGGGGGGCACCCACCUGUGUGAGGAACACGGGUUCAAAACUCCGGUCUCUUGGGGCAUUUUC